rnacentral:hammerhead_ribozyme from 1 species
AUCCAGCUGACGAGUCCGAAAUAUGACAAAACACGUGUCUUGGAU